AUUGAACGCUGGCGGCAGGCCUAACACAUGCAAGUCGAACGAGUGGCGGACGGGUGAGUAAUGUCUGGGAAACUGCCCGAUGGAGGGGGAUAACUACUGGAAACGGUAGCUAAUACCGCAUACCAUCGGAUGUGCCCACAUGGGAUUAGCUAGUAGGUGGGGUAACGGCUCACCUAGGCUAAGAUCCAUAGCUGGUCUGAGAGAAUGACCAGCCACACUGGAACUGAGACACGGGCCAGACUCCGACGGGAGGCAGCAGUGGGGAAUAUUGCGCAAUGGGCGAAAGCCUGAUGCAGCAAUGCCGCGUGUAUGAAGAAGGUUUUCGGGUUGUAAAGUACUGUCAGCGAGGAGGCGUUACUCGCAGAAGAAGCACCGGCUAACUACGUGCCAGCAGCCGCGGUAAUAC
rnacentral:rRNA from 1 species